ensembl:lncRNA
GUAACAGGAGUGAGUACAGUAACAGGAGUGAGUACAGUAACAGUAACAGAGGUGAGUAACAGUACAGUAACAGGAGUGAGUAACAGUAACAGUAACAGGAGUGAGUAACAGUAACAGGAGUGAGAGUGAGUAACAGUAACAGGAGUGAGUAACAGUAACAGUAACAGAAGUGAGAGUGAGUAACAGUAACAGUAACAGUAACAGGAGUGAGUAACAGUAACAGUAACAGGAGUGAGUAACAGUAACAGGAUGAAGUAACAGUAACAGGAGUGAGUAACAGUAACAGUAACAGGAGUGAGUAACAGUAACAGUAACAGGAGUGAGUAACCAUAACAGUACCAGUAACAGGAGUGAGUAACAGUAACAGGAGUGAGUAACAGUAACAGUAACAGGAGUGAGUAACAGUAACAGUAACAGGAGUGAGUAAAAUGGUAAAAAUGGUAAAUGGUGCACUUAUAUAGCGCUUU